rnacentral:lncRNA from 1 species
GUUCCGGAUUAACGUUCCUCAAUAACUAAUGUUUCCCCCGGACCAACUUUCCGUUCAGAUCAACUUUCCGUCUGUGCCAACGUUCGCCGCGAUUACCGUUCUGCUGUGGUUAGCGUUCCCUCAUCCAUUGGGGUCGAGGUCUUGUAGGUCCAUUUGGGGCCUAUUGAAGAUUUUUUACGAAUCCAUGCAUUUUCUUAUUAAACCUUCAUUACGGGCCUGGAAAAUAGAUACUGUGUUUCUAUAGUACAAAUGCCAUCUUCUCAGGGAGCCCUUGCCCAGACAUCCUUUUCUAAAAUUGCAACCCUCCCUUUCCCUUAAUGUACAUUCUCCCUACCUUCGUUCUCUUCCAUUCCCCCCAUUCACUUUAGACUCAUCACCAUUUACCUUAUACAUUUAACGUACAUUUGAUGAUUUUCUGAGGACCUGCUCCGCCCUAGCAUGUAAAGUCCACGAGCACAGCGAUUUUGUUCUUGCUCUCUGCUCUGUCCCAGAGACUGGGGGAGAGAGAGACCCUCUCAUUUUGUUUUAUAUUGUUUUAUACUCAGUACCUGUUUUAAGAAGAAACAACAAGGAAGUGAAACCAAAGACGGGCAGCCCGGCGCCAGGCCCGAAACCAGGCCUGGGCCUGCCUGGCCUAAACCCAGUUUCAUGUGUGUGAAGAGACCACCAAACGUGUGUGAAGAGACCACCAAACAGGCUUUGUUUACUUCAGGCCAUCUGGAUGUAUACGUGCAAGUCACAGGGGAUGCGAUGGCUUGGCUUGGGCUCAGAGGCCUCACACCCAGUAGCUAAAAAUCAACUCAUAACUUAGAAACCGAUGUUAUUCAUAGAUUCCAGACAUUGUAUAGAAGAACGUUGUGAAACUCCCUGCCCUGUUCUGUUUCUCUCUUACCACUGGUGCAUGCAGCCCCUGUCACGUACCACCUACUUGCUCAAAUCAAUCACGACCCUUUCAUGUGAAAUCUUUAGUGCUGUGAGGAGCCCUUAAAAGGGACAGAAAUUGUGCAUUCGGGGAGCUCGGAUUUUAAGGCAGUAGCUUGCCGAUGCUGCCAGCUGAAUAAAGCCCUUCCUUCUACAACUCGGUGUCUGAGAGGUUUUGUCUGCGGCUCGUCCUGCUACAAGACUAGAAGAGUAGCAUAUUAUAUUCAGUAACUGUUUGCUGAAUACAUGAGGGAAUUGAGCUAAGUGUUUGGCCCAACACUGCACACACAAAGUGGCAGAGCUAGAAUUUGACCCAAGCAUAGUUUUGAAUCUGGAGGCUUUACCACCUCACACAUUGCCUCACCUCCUGAAGGUUUGAUUUGUAGUGGGAUUAGUAUCAUUCACCUCACAAUGGAUGUGCAAUACAAAUGUCAGAGGCGUGUGAACCAGAGCAACUCCAUCUUAAAUAGGAGCUGGGUAAAAUGAGGCUGAAACCUACUGGGCUGAAUUCCCAGACGGUUAAGGCAUUCUAAGUCACAGGAUGAUAUAGGAGGUCAGCACAAAAUACAGGUCAUAAAGACCUUGCUGAUAAAACAGGUUGCAGUAAAGGAGCCUGCUAUAAACCACCAAAACCAAAAUGGUGACAAGAGUGACCUCUGGUCGUCCUCACUGCUACACUCCCAGCAGCGCCAUGACAGUUUACAAAUGCCAUGGUAAUGUCAGGAAGUUACCCUAUAUGGUCUAAAAGGGGGAGGCAUGAAUAAUCCACCCCUCGUUUAGCGUAUCAUCAAGAAAUAAUCAUAAAAAUGCCUAACCAGCAGCCCUCGGGGGCUACUCUGUCUAUGGAGUAGCCAUUCUUUUAUUCCACUACUUUAUUAAUAAACUUGCUUUCACUUUGCACUGUGGACUUGCCCUAAUUCUUUCUUGCGCUAGAUCCAAGAACCCCCUCUUGGGGUCUGGAUCGGGACCCUUUUCCUGUAACGUAUUUCUGGCAACCACAGAAGGGACUAUAGUGCAGAAACCUGACCCAAUGGCUACCUUUGGGUAAGUGUUGGGGUCCGUUAACACUACCAGGUGUUCACCUGCAAAGGGAAGGUGUAAUCUGCCAUGUUAAAGACACUGUGCACCAACUUCUUCAUUUCUUUCUCCACGAUCUCCUCUUUCACUUCUGCUGUCCUUUUCACCUUGCUGUGCACAGAACUGAUGACAGGCUCUUUCCACUGGUACAGCUUGCCACUCACCAGAGCAAAGCUAAAUGGCAGGCACAGGAAAGCAUCAAUGGGAGGCAUAGCACAGUGGGGUGGGAGGCAGGCUCUGCAGGCCACUUCCGUUCCAAUCCUAGCUCGGCUGCAUGACUUGCUUCCGUGUGACUCGUUUUCCC